UACGGGGGGGGCAAGCGUUGUUCGGAAUUACUGGGCGUAAAGGGCUCGUAGGCGGCCAACUAAGUCAGACGUGAAAUCCCUCGGCUUAACCGGGGAACUGCGUCUGAUACUGGAUGGCUUGAAUCCGGGAGAGGGAUGCGGAAUUCCAGGUGUAGCGGUGAAAUGCGUAGAUAUCUGGAGGAACACCGGUGGCGAAGGCGGACAUCC
rnacentral:rRNA from 1 species